GAUGAAGAACGUAGCGAAAUGCGAUAAGUAAUGUGAAUUGCAGAAUUCAGUGAAUCAUCGAAUCUUUGAACGCACCUUGCGCUCCUUGGUAUUCCGAGGAGCAUGCCUGUUUGAGUGUCAUUAAUAUAUCAACCUCUUCAGCUUAUGCUUGUUGAGUGUUGGAUGGUGGGGGUUUGCUGGUGUCUUAUGAAGUCAGCUCCUCUGAAAUGCAUUAGCGGAACAAUUUGUUGACCGUUCAUUGGUGUGAUAAAAAUAUCUACGCUAUUGACGUCAGUCAGUUCAGCUUCUAACAGUCCAUUGACUUGGACAAAUUUUUCAUUAAUGUGACCUCAAAUCAGGUAGAACUACCCGCUGAACUUAAGCAUAUCAAUAAGCGGAGGA
rnacentral:misc_RNA from 1 species